AUACGGAGGGUGCGAGCGUUAAUCGGAAUUACAGGGCGUAAAGCGUACGUAGGCGGUUUGCUAAGUCAGAUGUGAAAGCCCCGGGCUUAACCUGGGAACUGCAUUUGAUACUGGCAGACUAGAGUAUGAUAGAGGGGGGUAGAAUUCCUGGUGUAGCGGUGAAAUGCGUAGAUAUCAGGAGGAAUACCAGUGGCGAAGGCGGCCCCCUGGAUCAAUACUGACGCUGAGGUACGAAAGCGUGGGGAGCGAACAGGAUUAGAAACCCUAGUAGUCC
rnacentral:rRNA from 1 species